CCGGGCGACCGGCGGACGGGUGCGUAACGCGUAUGUAACCUACCUUUGACAGGGGGAUAACAUCGAGAAAUUGGUACUAAUACCCCAUAACAUCACCGGAGGCAUCUUCGGUGGUUGAAAACUCAGGCGGUCAGAGAUGGACAUGCGUUGUAUUAGCUAGUUGGUGAGGUAACGGCUCACCAAGGCGACGAUACAUAGGGGGACUGAGAGGUCAACCCCCCACAUUGGUACUGAGACACGGACCAAACUCCUACGGGAGGCAGCAG
rnacentral:rRNA from 1 species